GUUGAAACACCGAUUCUCAUCCGAUCACCGAAUUUAAGCAACCUCGAGGCUGUUCAGUUCCUAGAUGGGUGACCGUUUGGGAAUAUCAAGUGCUGUAA